GAUGAAGAACGCAGUGAAAUGCGAUAAGUAAUGUGAAUUGCAGAAUUCAGUGAAUCAUCGAAUCUUUGAACGCACAUUGCGCCCCCUGGUAUUCCGGGGGGCAUGCCUGUCCGAGCGUCAUUACAACCCUCAAGCUCAGCUUGGUGUUGGGCCCCGCCGCCCCGGCGGGCCCUAAAGUCAGUGGCGGUGCCGUCCGGCUCCGAGCGUAGUAAUUCUUCUCGCUCUGGAGGUCCGGUCGUGUGCUCGCCAGCAACCCCCAGUUUUUUUCAGGUUGACCUCGGAUCAGGUAGGGAUACCCGCUGAACUUAAGCAUAUCAAUAAGCGGAGGA
rnacentral:misc_RNA from 1 species